AUUGAACGCUGGCGGAAUGCUUUACACAUGCAAGUCGAACGGCAGCACGGGGGCAGCCCUGGUGGCGAGUGGCGAACGGGUGAGUAAUACAUCGGAACGUGCCCGGUCGUGGGGGAUAACGUAGCGAAAGUUACGCUAAUACCGCAUACGAUCUGAGGAUGAAAGCGGGGGACCUUCGGGCCUCGUGCGAUCGGAGCGGCCGAUGUCAGAUUAGGUAGUUGGUGGGGUAAAGGCCUACCAAGCCGACGAUCUGUAGCUGGUCUGAGAGGACGACCAGCCACACUGGGACUGAGACACGGCCCAGACUCCUACGGGAGGCAGCAGUGGGGAAUUUUGGACAAUGGGCGCAAGCCUGAUCCAGCCAUUCCGCGUGCAGGACGAAGGCCUUCGGGUUGUAAACUGCUUUUGUACGGAACGAAAAGGCUCUGGCUAAUACCUGGGGCUCAUGACGGUACCGUAAGAAUAAGCACCGGCUAACUACGUG
rnacentral:rRNA from 1 species